rnacentral:rRNA from 1 species
GUAGUCAUAUGCUUGUCUCAAAGAUUAAGCCAUGCACGUCUAAGUUCAGGCCUUUUCGGAGGUGAAACCGCGAAUGGCUCAAUACAUCAGUUGUGGUUUAUUAGAUUGUGCGAAUCUUACUUGGUAUACCUGUGGGAAUUCUAGAGCUAAUACAUGCAGUCAGGCUUCAACUCCCGGCAACGGGAAGGAGGAGCGCUUUUAUUAGACCGAAACCAACCUGGCCGCGUACUUGCUGCGCGGUCCGGUCUCUGGCUUUGUCCAGGGGUUUGGUGACUCUGAAUAACCACAGGCCGAUCGCAUGGCUUUGUGCCGGCGACGUAUCUUUCAAGUGUCUGCCUCAUCAACUGUCGACGGUAGGUUAUGAGCCUACCGUGGUUUCAACGGGUAACGGGGAAU